UACAGAGGGGGCAAGCGUUGUUCGGAAUUACUGGGCGUAAAGGGCGCGUAGGCGGCCCGCUAAGUCGAACGUGAAAUCCCCGGGCUCAACCCGGGAACUGCGUCCGAUACUGGUGGGCUUGAAUCCGGGAGAGGGAUGCGGAAUUCCAGGUGUAGCGGUGAAAUGCGUAGAUAUCUGGAGGAACACCGGUGGCGAAGGCGGCAUCCUGGACCGGUAUUGACGCUGAGGCGCGAAAGCGUGGGGAGCGAACAGG
rnacentral:rRNA from 1 species